rnacentral:tRNA from 1 species
AGGGGAAUAGUUCAGUGGUAGAGUGCAUGCUUAGCAUGCCUGAGGUCCUGGGUUCAAACCCCAGUACCUCUG